CGCAGCCGCGGUAAUUCCAGCUCCAAUAGCGUAUAUUAAAGUUGCUGCAGUUAAAAAGCUCGUAGUUGAAUUUCGGGAUCAAUAUGUUGGUCGUGCCUCGGUACGUACUGGCUUAUUGGUUUCUCCCUUCUGACGAACCAUGAUGUCAUUUAUUUGGUGUUAUGAGGAAUCAGGACUGUUACUUUGAAAAAUUAGAGUGUUUAAAGCAGGCUCACGCUUGAAUACAUUAGCAUGGAAUAAUGAAAUAGGACGUUUGAUUCUAUUUUGUUGGUUUCUAGGAUCGACGUAAUGAUUAAUAGGGAUAGUUGGGGGCAUUAGUAUUCAAUUGUCAGAGGUGAAAUUCUUGGAUUUAUUGAAGACUAACUACUGCGAAAGCAUUUGCCAAGGAUGUUUUCAUUAAUCAAGAACGAAAGUUAGGGGAUCGAAGACGAUCAGAUACCGUCGUAGUCUUAACCAUAAACUAUGCCGACUAGGGAUCGGAUGAUGUAAUUUUUUAAUGUACUCAUUCGCGUACCG
rnacentral:misc_RNA from 1 species